rnacentral:rRNA from 1 species
GGCGUCAGAUUAAACGACUGGCGGCAUGCCUUACACAUGCAAGUCGAACGGCAGCACGGGGGCGAACCCUCGGUGGCGGAGUGGCGGACGGGUGAGUAAAGCAUCGGAACGUAUCCUGGAGUGGGGGAGUAACGUAGCGAAAGUUACGCUAAUACCGCAUAUUCUGUGAGCAGGAAAGCAGGGGAUCGCAAGACCUUGCGCUCUGGGAGCGGCCGAUGUCGGAUUAGCUAGUUGGUGGGGUAAAGGCCUACCAAGGCGACGAUCCGUAGCGGGUCUGAGAGGAUGAUCCGCCACACUGGGACUGAGACACGGCCCAGACUCCUACGGGAGGCAGCAGUGGGGAAUUUUUGGACAAUGGGCGCAAGCCUGAUCCAGCCAUGCCGCGUGAGUGAAGAAGGCCUUCGGGUUGUAAAGCUCUUUCGGCGGGGAAGAAAUUGCACGGGUUAAUACCCUGUGUAGAUGACGGUACCCGAAUAAGAAGCACCGGCUAACUACGUG